CUUCUCUAAUUAGGUGACAUUUAAUCUAAAUAGUUUAAGCUCCAAAUCAGAUUUGAUUUUCUAUCUAUUUGGAUCUAAUUAAGUCCUAAUAUGAUUAGAAUUGAUUGGAGUUUUAUUGGAUUUAAAACAGCCACCUAAAGAAGAGUCCCAUGUGCAUUAAACUUCUUCCUUUCCAUGCACCAACAAGGUCUCACAUUAAACCAGAUUUGGAUGCCACAUCCCACCAAUAUUUGUACGA
rnacentral:lncRNA from 1 species